rnacentral:lncRNA from 1 species
UUGUUCAGCAGACAGGUAAAAGAAAUAUCCCCUCAUUUCCUUAGGGUACCUUACGAAAUUAUACUUAUCGGACUUAGAACUAAGCUUAUUAGUUUGUAAUCAUUUAACAUAAGCUGGACAACCCCAGACUCUAAAGUAAGAGAGGUUCGGCCUAUAUCCUGACCAUAUCUCAUAUGGUAUCUUACUAACUGACUUGCUCGAAAUAUUAUUGAGCACAAGACAGGCUGUUUCAAGUGCAUAUCUUCAAAAAG